rnacentral:rRNA from 1 species
CGCGUAGGUGGUUUGGUAAGUCAGAUGUGAAAGCCCCGGGCUCAACCUGGGAAUUGCUUCUGAUACUGCUGGACUAGAGUGCAGUAGAGGGCAGUGGAAUUUCCGGUGUAGCGGUGAAAUGCGUAGAUAUCGGAAGGAGCACCAGUGGCGAAGGCGACUGCCUGGACUGAUACUGACACUGAGGUGCGAAAGCGUGGGUAGCAAACA